rnacentral:lncRNA from 1 species
AUUUUCCUUUGCUCUGGGUUUAAGGUACUCUUUUACAUGCGAAAGAAUGGGAGCACGCUCUCAUUUCAAAAUAUGGCUAAUGUCAAAGCCGUUUGCACUUUGGAGCCAGGCCUGUUCAAUUUUACAAAUAGCAAGUUUUUCUUACAAUCAGGGUACGGUGGCAACGUGACUUGAAACCCCCAGAAUCAUACCCGGGAUGAAUGCAGGUUUUCUUGGUGGUGAUUAUCUUAAAGGUUCUGUUAGCAGUGCUGUUACUUGGUGCUUCAGAGAUAUGGUGACUGGCCGAGCGCAAAGGAGCCAUGCCAGGAAAACUAAGAGCACAUCUUCAUAAAGUCCAGGCUAAAGUAAGGUCUGAGGAGAGGGAUGAGGUGUGUGUUAGAGGAACUGAAAUCAAAGAUCCGAUUACCUAGGCCAGUGGCACGGCAAACUUCAGAACUCAUGGAAUACAGCCUGUUGAUUCCUUGUGGAUUUUUAGCAUCUGAGCAGUAUCAGUGGCACUCCAAGUGAAAUGGUUGAUCUCUUCAGUACCGCUGGAGCAGAUUAAUAUUUAUUUCACUGCCAGAGGCUAUAUUUCUCUGCCCCCCCAUACCCCCUUCCUCUUCUCCUUAGACUACUUAAGAUUGAAAUAUUUGCAACUCCAAAUUUAUCUUCCUUGCUUACCACUUUUUUUUCCGAGCUGGGGACCAAACCCAGGGCCUUGCGCUUCCUAGGUAAGCGCUCUAUCACUGAGCUAAAUCCCCAGCCCCGCUUACCACAUUGUUAAUCUGAUCCUUCCGCAGUUAUUUGUGCUGUUCUUUU